UAUGUAGGGUGCAAGCGUUAAUCGGAAUUACUGGGCGUAAAGCGUGCGCAGGCGGUGAUGUAAGACAGAUGUGAAAUCCCCGGGCUCAACCUGGGAACUGCAUUUGUGACUGCAUCGCUGGAGUGCGGCAGAGGGGGAUGGAAUUCCGCGUGUAGCAGUGAAAUGCGUAGAUAUGCGGAGGAACACCGAUGGCGAAGGCAAUCCCCUGGGCCUACACUGACGCUCAUGCACGAAAGCGUGGGGAGCAAACAGG
rnacentral:rRNA from 1 species